rnacentral:rRNA from 1 species
AGUGAACGCUGGCGGUAGGCCUAACACAUGCAAGUCGAACGGCAGCACAGUAAGAGCUUGCUCUUACGGGUGGCGAGUGGCGGACGGGUGAGGAAUACAUCGGAAUCUACUUUUUCGUGGGGGAUAACGUAGGGAAACUUACGCUAAUACCGCAUAUGACCUACGGGUGAAUGCAGGGGAUCUUCGGAUCUUGCGCGAUUGUAUGAGCCGAUGUCGGAUUAGCUAGUUGGCUGGGUAAAGGCCCACCAAGGCGACGAUCCGUAGCUGGUCUGAGAGGAUGAUCAGCCACACUGGAACUGAGACACGGUCCAGACUCCUACGGGAGGCAGCAGUAGGGAAUAUUGGGCAAAGGGCGCAAGCCUGAUCCAGCCAUACCGCGUGGGUGAAGAAGGCCUUCGGGUUGUAAAGCCCUUUUGUUGGGAAAGAAAAGCAGCAGGUUAAUACCCCGAUGUUCUGACGGUACCCAAAGAAUAAGCACCGGCUAACUUCGUG